rnacentral:rRNA from 1 species
GACGAACGCUGGCGGCGUGCCUAAUACAUGCAAGUCGAGCGAACAGACGAGGAGCUUGCUCCUCUGUCGAGAGCGGCGAACGGGUGAGUAACGCGUGGAUAACCUACCUUUAAGAGGGGGACAACUUCGGGAAACGGGAGCUAAUACCGCAUAAUAUCUUGAACCAUAUGGUUCAAUAGUGAAAGACGGUUUUGCGGUAACUAAUAGAGGGAUCCGGGCCUCUUUGGUGGGUUGUGAGGGUAAAGGCUUACCAAGGGAAGGAUGGUUAGCCGACGGGCGGGGGGGAUGGGCAACCUGGGAACUGGACCAGGCCCAAGAGUCCUAGGGGAGGAACCAGAAGGGAAUCUUCGGCAAUGGGGGAAAGCCUGACGGAGCAAGCCGGCGUGGGUAAUGACGGUUUCGGGUUCGUAAAACCCUCUUAUUGGGGAAAAACAAAUUUGGAAUGAAAUGUGCACGUAGUGACGGUAACUAAUCAGAAAGCCACGGCUAACUACGUG